UCCCUGGCUCCCGUUCCCCCACGGACGUAGUUCACGGGAAAGAAAAACGACGCUCGGUCUUUCGACCGUGAGCGCCAUCGCUGCCGCAGGCGGGCUGCCUCCGGGCUCCAGGCGCGGGCGCGAGCCAGCCGGCAGCCAGCCUCUGAGGGCGCGAGGCCGCCGAGGCUGCCUCCGGCAACAUGCGCGUGCCAGCCGGCCACCCGCCGCUAGGAGAGCGAGGCCGCCGGGGCUGUCUCCGACCGGCCAUGGGCUUGGGUCCCGGGAGCGGGCGUAGCCGCUGGCCGCCCAGCCAUGGGCAUGGGGCACGAGCCUCUGCCUAGCCAGACCGCCCCACCACGGCGAGGCCGCAGGCCCUGCCGCGGUUCCGGGGCAUGAGGCCGCCAGACGCCUCGUCGCGGGCGUGGCCGCCAGGGCUGACUGGGAGCCGCUGCGUGGCUGUGCUUGCGCCGCGCGGGGCGCAGUCAUCCGCAGUGCGUGGCCGCUGACCGCGGCGCGGAUUGGGCCUGGGCCUGGCCGAGCGAGGGCCGCCGCGGGGGCUCGCCAAGCAUGGUGCCGGUGAGCGCGAUGGAGUUGGGGAAGAUUUCAGAUUGACGAUGAGGAAGUGCUAGAGCAUGGCUGUAUCGCCGGAUUGUCGAAGGCCAGAGCAGCGGUUGUCAGCCUCGCCAUCGUCAUGAACGAGGCAGAGGAGGCGGGGCGACGAGUUCCGGCGACAGUGCGACUUCGAUCCCCUUCUGGAUUCCCUCUCGAGAGCGCAGAACUGAGAAGUGCGUUCUCCUCUACAUGUUCUCGUAGAGAGGUGCUGAUAACGUAUUAAAGCGUGAAUGUAAAUGAACAAGAUUUGGGAACAACCGAUGUUUUCAUUGAUCUCUUUGGAAUAUAUACAAGUGAACGGUUGCGUCGUA